rnacentral:rRNA from 1 species
CGGAGGGUGCAAGCGUUAUCCGGAUUCACUGGGUUUAAAGGGUGCGUAGGUGGGCAGGUAAGUCAGUGGUGAAAUCUCCGGGCUUAACCCGGAAACUGCCAUUGAUACUAUUUGUCUUGAAUACCGUGGAGGUCAGCGGAAUAUGUCAUGUAGCGGUGAAAUGCUUAGAUAUGACAUAGAACACCAAUUGCGAAGGCAGCUGGCUACACGAAUAUUGACACUGAUGCACGAAAGCGUGGGGAUCAAACAGGAUUAGAUACCCUGGUAGUCCACGCCCUAAACGAUGGAUACUCGACAUACGCGAUAUACUGUGUGUGUCUGAGCGAAAGCAUUAAGUAUCCCACCUGGGAAGUACGAUCGCAAGAUUG